UAUACCUAAUGCUAAAUGACGAGUUAAUGGGUGCAGCACACCAGCAUGGCACAUGUAUACAUAUGUAACUAACCUGCACAUUGUGCACAUGUACCCUAAAACUUAAAGUAUAAUAAUAAUAAAACAAAAUAAAAAAAAUUUGCUAUUUUCUCUAGUCAACAGAAAGACAGAAGCUUCAUCAGAUAACAGAAUUUAGCUAGAAUUUAAUAACAUUGUUUUGUCUUCUCUCUUUUUAUGAUUCCCUCUAUUAUAGCAAAAGAUACUGACUUUCCAUUUGAACUUGUUCUUUUAGGAUGAAUUUAGGGGACAAAAGUGAGUGCUUGAAGAAAAUCAUGAAGUAACUAUUGCCCAGGUGAUGCACAGAUAUUUGCAAAGGAAGUACUGGGAUGAGUGAAGUUUGGGAAACACUAGCUGCAGAUACAUAUGAAAGCAAUUUAAAAGAGGCAAGGCUGGGCUUUGAAGCCAGGGCACUGAUCCCAAGGCUAGGGAUCCUUCUGCAGUCUCCUUGUGCUCCACCACUGCAGAGCUGCCUGCAGCCUGAUCUGGAUAGCUGAUGGAGGAGGACAUCACUAUGCUUCCCUCAGCAUUGCUAUCAGGUUAUCUCUACAUGGGGUUGGAGGCUUCCCUCUUACAGGCUGGGCAAAGUCUCAUGAGAAUGAAUUUGGGGCUGGGCAGAGUGGCUCACGCCUGUAAUUCCAGCACUUUGGGAUCCCAGCACUUUUAUACAAACCAAGUAGUGGUAUAGACAGGGUCCCUAAACUUAGCUCAUGGAAUUGGUGCUGAGUACAUGGUAGAGAAAGAUUCAAAAUGCUGCUGUUCUACCUGAGAUGGGAAAAAUGAAAGCAAAAUAACAUCAACAAAAACAAACAAACAGCCUUGUAGUUCCAUGUCACUAGCCAGGGAUUUAAGACCAGCCUAGAGAACAUGGUGAGACCCCUUCUCUACAAAAAUAAAAAUAAAAAUACAAAAUAAGCAGGACAUGGUGGUGUGUACCUGUAGUCUUAGCUGCUCAGGAGGCUGAGGUGAGAGGAUUGCUUGAGCCCAGAAAUUUGAGGCUGUAGUGAGCUAUGAUCACACCACUGUAUUUCAGCCUGGGGAACAAGAGUGUGACCCUGUCUUUUUUUUUUUUUUUUUUUUAAGAAUACAUUUGGGGGCAGAAUUUCCAGAAUAGUAGCUCUUUCUCCCCAUAACUUGUGAGGAUUAAGAGAAAAAUGCCCCAAAAUCCAUCCUUCUCAUGGGCCCCUUGUCAAACCAAGGUGACUUUCUGAGGUAGCCACUCACUGGGUGCCAGAAAACCCUGAGCCUGUUUAUUCAGAAUUCUCUGUGCCUGUGCCAUAAGCAAAAGUUUUGUGUCUUUAGCAGAGAUGAUAUUGUUCCGGGGUUUGGCUUUCCCUCACCCCCAGGGGCACAGUAGAUGUUAAUGACUUUGUAACAGCAGCAGGGGGUCAUGACAGGGAGCUGCUGUGUGUUGAGGAGAGAAGGCACGUUUCUUUCUUCAUUGUGUGGAGAGCGUCACAAGCCACUCUCUCUCCAUCUGCGCAUCAUGCUGGGAGUUGUUCAGUUGAGCAGGCUGGGACUAGUCCUUGGCAGGGCUCCGCAGAAGGGCUGGGAGAGGUGGGUUGACAGUGGAAACUGGCAUUCUGCUGUUCUCAGGAGGCUCCGCUUUGAUGGACGGCUGGGCAGCCUGUGCUGCAGGGACCACCAGUGGUUGUUGAGGUGGUGAAGUGUGUCCCCGUUAACUCCACUCUGGGCAGUGAACUGAAGAGGGAGCAAAGCCCAGGAAAUGGGCCUUUGCGGCAGUGGUGGAGGUAGAGUGACCCACAGCAAACCUCCCCACUUGUCCCUGACCAUUCAGUAGUUCCAGAGGCAGUGAGCUUGGAAUCUUAGCAAGAGAGAUCUUGGGGUGGGGUGUGGACUUUCCACAAAGGCAUUACCUACAUGCACGUUCCCUUACACAUGUAGCCUUCCAAUCUCAUACGUAAGAACACUUAUUUAAGUAAAAUAUGCCUAUUCCAACAGCAGGAGCUCUCGGCUGGGGAGUAGAGUUGUUAUUAGUUUACUAUUUAGUAUUAACUGAGUAAACAUUUAGAAAGGACUGGAUGGGGGUGGGCACAUGGGGCUGGGGUGCAUUUGCUCUGGCUCUACAUUUAUGAAGGACCUCAAAUUUCAUUAUGUGACAUUUUCUCUAAACAAAGGUAUAUAUACUACAACAGAUAUACAGAGGCUAGAAAAAAGUCCAUCAUAAAACUUCACACUUGUGUUCUAUUACAAAACCACAUUGUCUGCAUGGUAUUAUGAUGUCGGCAAAUUUAUAAAUCUUGUAUUUAUAGACAUUUAAAAAAUGUAAAAUGCAUAUAUUUAUUAUAUGUAAACAUCGUAAAUAUACCAUAACUUUUAUAUCCUUCUUUUCCUCCUCCUCCAAUGGCUAUCUUUAGAGAUUCAAAAAAAAAAAAAAAAAAUUUCAAGCAGCAGCAAGACACUGAGAUGAGGGAGGGGAGGGGAUGGGAUGGGAUGGUGUUCUUUAUUGAUUAAGUGCUUUGAGUUCUUUGGGAAGUCAAACACCACAGAAAUCUACUUAGCUUCAGCAUAUUGCUUGAGAGGUACUCUAGUAAGCCAAAGUUUGCCUGGUGUAGGAUGUUUAUCAAAGUGGAGUGGCCGAAAAUGAAUGCCACAAAUUGCCGCACUCUGAAUUCUGCUCCUCAGGGCCCAAUAGCUGACUUUCUAAUCUGCAAGAGCACCUGUGCUUCCUGGUCUCUGGGCCUUUGCAAGUGCUGUAUCUCUAGCAUGGACCGGGAAUGCUCCUCCCCCUGAGCUCCUUCUUGAGAACUCUGAAUCAUCCUUUAAGACCCAGAGAACUUGUUAUCACUUCUUUGAUACAUUGCCGGACCACCUUUUCAGCAUGGCCCCUGAACUCCCACUGCACUGCGGAAUGAAUUGUUCCCUCCCCUGAGAUGCUUUGGAGUCUUGUGUGUACCUUGCCAAUGUAUAGAGAUAGCUGUGUGUGUCUCACCACACAAUGAGCUUCCUAUAUAGGGUCACUUCUAAUUCAUCCUUGAAUCCUCAGCCAAGAAGCCUGCAAAGGAAAGGUGCUCCAUAAAUGUUAAACCUAAUUGAAUCUUUUAAUAAAAUGAUGAGUGUAACCUCUAACACUAUAAAAAUUAAACAAAAACUCUCAGAAGCAACAAUGUGUACUAAAAAUUAAUUUGAAAAAUUUCCUUCCAUAUACUGUUAGCAAAGUACUUUUCUUUUAUAGGCCUCUCCUGUGCUAUAAAACUCUUGAGUGUUCUAAAAAUAUUUUUAAAAAUAGGCAUUUAGAACCUCUUUAAUGAACUACUUCCAAAUGUGGCUAAGAUAUUUGAGGCUUUCCCCGCAGCAGGUGUAAAACCAGCAGUUGGAGCUGAACACCAAGAAGUGGGAAUUCCUGGCUCAGAGAUGGAGAGGUGUCUGUCUCGAAGUUUCACAGGUGGCAGGUGACAAUAUUCUUGGUAGAGACCCUGGUUAAAGGGUUGAAGUUCUCUCUGGGGGUGCUCUUUGGUAUGUAGAGCAGCUUCCUGAGCUCUUGCAAAAUAGUCGGUGCAUCUCAAAUUCUCCGACUCUGACUUUAUGUUUGCACAGGCAGGCUUGAGGCCCGCCACGUCACCUGUGAUCUGACCACAGCACUGCUCAAAUCUGCGGUGUAAAUCACAGCUUUAUCCACUCGCUCACAGAACUGCAAAUUAAUUCUUGUCCUCUUUCCUGAUUUCCUAACUGUCCUUGUUUAUAAACGUGCUUUAUGGUAAAGGCCAUUAGUUUAUCUCACAAGUUAAAAUUAAGAAGAACAAAGGCUGGUCUAAAAUAGAGCAGAAAACAAAAAAUAAAAAGGUAUUGUGGACCAAAAAAGAAGUAUCAAUUAUUUUAUUUGCUUCUAAGAGUUUAGCUUCAAAUGCUGCCCUUAGAAUCCAUUAUUACUAGAAAUUCAAAAUUACAUUCCAAUUUAGAUUUAGAUUGCAAUGCUGAUUUUUUUCCUUGUGUAAGGAAUAACAAUUUCAGAUUUUAUUUCAAAAGUAACAUGUUCAUCUCUGAUUAAAGUACAACAUAUAUGUAAUUCAAUGUAAGAAUCCACUUAAGUAUUUUUCCUUUGCUUGGCUGAUGCCAAUGUGUAUUUCAUGCAGUGUAGAAAAGCAUUAAUUAAGCUGCUGGGUAAUGUCACUCCAUAUCAGUUUCAGGUAUGAUCAUGUGAAUAGCGAGAAGUAUAAUAGCUGUGCUUGUAUCUUGGCAGCAGAUGGCUUUUCGCUGCUGCCUCAUUUCUCUGAGGCUCUGCAGAGGCCAACCACAUAAAAUGACUUUCGCAUCUCCCUUCAAACCUCACGACAUAGUGCCAUUUUUGCUGGGCCGUGUACACCUGCUUUCACCAGACUCCAGUCUCGUAAAACUGUCAAUUGGAUCCUUUCACAAGAAUACAUUAGCAUUGUUUAAGGGGUUGUGCAUCACUUUUUUGACUGCUGUAAUUUGUUUUAAGCAGAACUUAAAAUGAUUAAUUGAUUGAUCCUUCUUUAAGGUAUUACAAAUACAGACCGACAUCAGCAAUUUUAGUGACACAUUGAACAUUCACAUAACCCUCAUAUAGCAUUGUUAUGUGUGUUUGUGCAUGUGUGUGUACUCACUGGGGCAAGAUGUUUAUGGAGACAUAUUAAGAACUGAGAAAGGGAAAACCCCACUUAUUUGAGAGUUUGGGAAAAAGAGAAGCAGGGAUAAGAUGAAAGAGAAAAAAAAGAGAAAAGAAACCUUAAAAUUCACACAGGAUUGUCAAGGAGCAGAGAAAAGACAUCCAGGAUCUUCAAGGCCUCCAACAUUUCUGAGAUAAUCAAGUAAAGGAUGAAACACUGAAGACUGUUCCUAGAAACCAGCUGUGUUUUAAAUGUAAGGAAAAAAGCUAGGCUGCUCAAUCCUUUAAAACUUGAAAUUGUUGUCAUCAUGAGGGAGAGGAAGGCUGGUGUGGAGGCCAGGCCCUGGGCAAACCAAACCUCUGAGCUACUCACCACAGGCUAGUUCAUCUCAGUGUUCUAAUGAGAUCAGUUGAGGCUCUUUUUGUUGAGUGAGAGAGAGAGAGAGGAAUAGUUACUGAUGUGACAUUUCCUAAGACUUUAUGAAUUAAAUUUCCUAUUAACUACUUUGAGGGCAAAUGUAUCUUAAAGCAACAGGGUACUUUCUGCUCCCAAGCUCUGCUCAAUGAUUAUUAACUCUUUAAUUGGGCAAAGUCUGUUUAUGCCAGUCAGACAUAGAGAAAUUUACAUAGUGUACAUAUUACCGUGAGAAUUCCUCUAAUAUACAAUUGUCAAUCAAAGUAGAGAUGGGUCUUCAGGUUUAGGAGGGUGAGGAUAAGUUACACCACAAAUGCAAACAGAUACAGCUGCUGUUAUAAACACACCAGUCCUAUGUCAUGCUUAUCUGAAUUCUUUCUGGUACUCACUUUUAAACCAAUAAAAAUUUCAGGAAAAUGUUAGAGAUAUUUUUGUGCCUUCAGAACCAUCACUUACAUAAGGAAACUUUUGAAUAAAAUGAGUUUUUGGAAAUAAAAGUGGUAAAUGGUUGUAAUAUAAAAGAAGUUACAUACCAAAUAAUAGCUUAUGCUGUAUUUUCAACAUGCUAGUUUUUGGAUGGGUAAUUUUUUUGGUAAUAAAUCUGAGUUGGGUCUGAAAUGGGAGGUUUGUAUUUACUGUAGGAUCUGUACUUCCGAUCAUCUCUCCUAAUGUGGGAAUAAUUUCUGAUUGCUGGUCAAUUGUCUUGAGAUUCUCAGAUGGAAAUGAAGCUCACAUUGCCAAAUAUUUUUACUGGGCCUAAUGAUAGAUCACCUGAGUGUAUCCUUCCUUAACAAUUAACUUCAAUUUAGAAGACAUUUAGAGUCUUUUGGAAGACAUUUAAUAGCAAGUGAAGUGAUUUGUGGAAAGACUGUGAAUUUCAGUCUUUCAGAUGAAAGAUGAUAAUGGGAUUGAAGUCUUUUUUUCUGAUUUAUUAUUUGUGUUCCUAUUUCUUACACAGUGAAACUUCCUAUUUUUCAGGGAACUGAACUUGUUUCAGCCCGAUGGCUGAUACAAUUAUUAGAGGGUUGUGUUGCUUUAUGGGCCCUAUGUUAAGACUUUUAAGUAAAUUUGGUAUGUAUUAAUAAUAGGCAAUGCUUAAGAGCCUGGCAAAAAGAGAAAACUGUUGUGAAAACAGCUUUAACCUGUCAGGAAUGAGAGUGAGAAGAGGGAGCUAAAUAGGUGAUGUAGUUCAUCAUCUCAGAUUGGUAUAUUUUGGAGGAGGUGGGAGAAAAAGAAUAAGGUAAUACACAUUCCAUUGGAAAAUUUCUAGAGAAUCUAGAAACUUAAAAAAAAUCUAAGGAAAUCAUUGUUCUUCUAAGAAAUAAGUCUCACUAUUAAUUUGUCACAUGCCAAAUGUUUGUAAUUGCCUUUGGGCCACUAUGGGAGGGUUUUCGUUCAUCACAGCCAUGAAAAAACCACAAUACUGCUUCCUAAAGCCAGUUUUCUUUUCUUUUUCCUUCUUCCUUUCUUUUUUUUUUUUUUUUUCCAAGGACAAGUCUCCUUGUCCUGAGCUCAGAAACUCAGAAGAGUUGGGAGCUUUGGGGAUGGCGAGAGAUUUCAAUCUUGAUGAGAAAUUCCUUGUCAGUGGCAAGUUGCUAUAAAGCAGGGCAGUUUUCCCAGAGGGGCUGGUAAAAAUACACACGCAUUAGUAAAGUAAAGCAAGGGGAAGGCACUGCCAGGUCUAGCUGUCCAGUCAGAAGUCAAAAUGUUUGUGCACACCAGACAGUGUGUCUGGCUACCUCGAGGGAGGGUCCAUGUUUGGUCUGGGAAAACAGUUCCAUGUUCACCACCAGGGAAAGCCUGUGGGUGAAUAACAAUGACCAGGCCCUACUAGCCAGGAAGAGCCUCUUUUCUAAAUGGCUGUCUCAUUAGGUUGAGUGGGAGUGUUUUUCAGCAUGCAGCUUUGAGAUAGAGCAGCCCGAACAGCUGUUCCCAUCAGAGGGUAGCACACAAGUCUGUGAACCCAGAAUGCUUCCGUGGACUGGCCUUUCAGUGGAAGGCGGCCACCCACUUGGUGGUGUUGCUGUGGCCAUCCUCAACUUGUCUUUCCAUCUCUCUUAUAUCUUUAGGGGAUUUUCAGCCAGUGUGGAGUGCUGGGUAUACUCUAGAAGGCUGCACAAUAAAUUCUCACUUUCCAAGCAAAGAUUUUUCAGCAUAAACAUCCAAGAAGGCAGUGUGUCAUGCUGGUAGAGAGGCACCAAUUACAUAAAAGCCAGUGCUGGUCAGCAUGUGUGUAAUUAUUUAUUUCAGCUUUCUGUAAAAGGAGGGGCAUUUUAUUCAAGCCAGGCAGAAACCUGGCAGUUUCCCAGUUGUGAAAUUCUAUUGACAAAGGUGUUAAGUGAAGGGCAGGGUAACGUGGUAUGCUAGGCCCCUGCGCCUUCAUCUCUGUGACCUGGGCAUGUGUCAGGCCCAGACUGAACUGACCAGAAUAACUUUGAUUUGAUGACCGUUAAAGGUCAGGCACAUAAUGGGAUCAGAUGUGUCAGUGGAGGGUGAAGUACAUAGCAUAAUAGAUUGAUGGUAAUUAAGUAGUCGUGUUUAAUAAGAGUCAUCAGAGUUAAAGGCAUUGUUGGAAUGAGCAGCUUGGGAAAGCAAUGAGAAGGCAUGAAGAAAGGAGGUGGGAAAUAUGUUAAGGAAUAACUUUUUUGUUACACUAAAGGAAAGAUCAGAAGAAGACCAGUGUGUCUCUGUGUGUGUGUGUGUGUGUGUAUGUGUGUGUGUGUGUUUUAGGAGACAGCAUUUUAUCUGUCUAAAAAUUGGUGUUUUUGUUUUUUUGUUCCUAGAUGAUUUUUUUAAGGGCCAAGUAGGGUCAGUAGAGGAGAAUUAAACUUUAUGAACUUAUAAAUGGCCCCAAAUCAUCCUAAUUACAUAUAUGUGUAUCCAGAAAAUGUAAACCACAAUCCUCCAGAUAAAAAUAGUUCAACAAAUAUUUCAGAUGAGAUCGGGCAUGUUCAGGAUGGUACGGCUGUAGACAGUGGUAUGGCCAUAGACUCAACAAAUAUUUCAAACAUUAAUCUAUAUUUUUUAUAGGAUGAGAAUUUGGGUUGUUACUGGCUUUUUAUUUUUAUAUAAGUCAUAGAACUCCUAGAAUUGAUUAAUUGCUUGUUCAGUGAAACUUUUGUAGUUUUGGAAAAUUAUCAUUCUUCGAUAAUACUUAAUCAUAUUAUUGUGAAGUGUUAUCAUUUAGUAAGAGAGCACAUUGAACUAGAAUAAAUGAAUAAGGGCAGGUUUUGAUUGCUGCAACCAUGAUACAUUUUCAGUAUUAUUUUUGUCAGUUUGCACAAAUCAUCAAUGGUCAUUGGGGUUUAUAUGUAGAUUACGUAGGUUCAAUGUAGAAUGAGCAGAUGUUGAGAAUGCAAACAGUUAAUUAGGAUGACAUUGACUGCACCAUCUGAUAAUGGAGAGUCCGGGUAAGGGGCUUCAAAUCUAAUCUGAAUUGUGACUUGACAAAUCUCAAUGAUCCCUUCUUUGUGCGAUUUUUCUCCUAGUUCUGUGUCACAGAUGUAUACUAAAGAAGUGUUCUGGCUUACAGAAGUUCUGACUUACUCUUUUCAUCUGAUCUUCAUUUCAGUAAAACUCAACCUGAAAGCAGAGUUGAGUUGGGAAAAGACUGUGAGGUGGAAUUUUUUUUUUUUUUUUUUAAUGAAUUACCUGUCUUUCCUCCUUCUAGCAACCAUGACCUGGGCAGUCUGACCCCAGCGCCUCUGCACUUAACCACUAUAUUAUACUAUCUGAGAGUUCUCAAGAGUAUGGCUUCGUUUCAUGAGAGUUUUGUCUUAUCUUUGAAACUCUGGUGCCAACACAGUGCCAGGCACACAAUAAAAGAGAAGUUAUUUAAUCAGAUUAACUCCCACUGAUAUUAGCUAACUUAUGCAUUCUGACAAAAGUGUCUCAGGAAUAGGUGAUAUAACCUUUGCCUAUAGGUGGAAGUUGAUGUUUUAUGAGAUAUAUUUGAGUGGGCACCACAAAUAGUAUCAGGCACAGAGCCUUCUACUCUUGCUCACUCUGAAAAUAUUCUCUUUGCAGCGUGUGACCCAAAGUAAGUGGGGUCUUAGCUACAUGGAGUCCAGUGGCUGGAAGUGAUGUUAGUCUAACUCCUUUCGUUUAAAAAUGAACUGAUUCUGUUGGCGGCUGGGCACAGUGGCUCAUACCCUGUAAUCUCAGCACUUUGGGAGGCCUAGUGGGGCAGAUCACCUGAGUUCAGGAGUUCAAGACCAGCUUGGCCAACAUGGUGAAACCCUGUCUCUACUAAAAAUACAAAAAAAUUAGCCGGGCAUGGUGGCGGGCGCCUGUAAUCCCAGCUACUCGGGAGGCUGAGGCAGGAGAAUCGCUUGAACCUGGGAAGCGGAGGUUGCAAUGAGCCGAGAUCGCACCACUGCACUCCAGCAUGGGCAACAAGAGUGAAACUUCUUCUCAAAAAACAAACAAACAAACCUCUGUUGGCAUCUGUGUGACAGUUCAAAAUAUUUAGUAUGAAGAAAGAGAGUUUGGAGUGCUUAAAAUACAGAUUAUCAUCUUUUAAACUUGAUGGCCAAUGUUUUAUCUCAUGUCUUGUCUCUUGAUUGGAGUCGCAAGGAAGUUUUUCUUCUUUUUAUAGGGUUUUGCCUUACCUCUCUUGUCAAUGAUGCAGGUAAUGGUGAGGGCUGAGAGUGACAGUGCAGAGCUAGCACUACAGAUGUUCUGGGCACCUAUUUAUUGACAGUUUGAGGAGGUUACAAAAACAACUCCUACCUUAGCUUGUUUGUUUGUUUGUUUGUUCAUUUUUGAGACAGAGUCUCACUCUAUUGCCCAGGCUGGAGUGCAGUGGCAUGAACUCAGCUCACUGCAAACUCCACCCCCUGGGUUCAAGCAAUUCUCCUGCUUCAGCCUCCGGAGUAGUUGGGAUUACAGGCAUGCACCACCAUGCCCAGCUGAUUUUUGUGUUUUUAGUGGAGAUGGGGCUUCACCAUGUUGGCCAGGCUGGUCUUGAACUCCUGACCUCAGGUAAUCUGCCUGCCUUGGCCUCCCAAAGUGUUGGGAUUACAGGUGUGAGCCACCGUGCCCGGCCAGCUUGUUUAUUUUUUGAAAACAUUUAUAAACAAUCAAAUCAAAGAGCUAUUCUACAACAACUGCUACUACUAUUAUGACUACUAGUUGCUUACAUUUAUGGAGUACUUUCUGCAUGCCAAGCAUUGUUCUGAAGACGUAGCAGUGCACUUGGUCCUCACAACAACUCAAUGAGGCAGGUGCUAUUAAUAUGCCCAUUCUAUAGAUUAGGAUAGUGAGACACUGACAAGUUAUGUAAAUUCUCAAUUAAGAGGUUAAGAAAUGUGAAAUAGAGCAAAGUUUCAAAUUAACAGGAAAAUUCACCAACACUAGCUGAUAUACCAGACAAUUUUUAUCUGUUUAAAAUUCUUUAUAAGGUUGGUUUUUUUUUUAGCUAGAGUAGACAUCUUAGGCUUUCUAAGCUGCAAGGGAAAUUGGAGAGCAGCUGGCCUCACAGCAUCACUUUAUUGAUUAGAAAUGUGAAGCUCAGAGAGGUAAAGUGACUUUCUUAAGACCGCAGAGCUCUUUGAAUCUAGACUUUAAGCCCUGAACUCUUUUUCCUAUAUCAGGCAAUAUUUCUCAUGCUACGUUUUCAUUUUCAAAAUAGCAUAAAAUCCUAGUGUUUAGUCUUCUAUCUCCUUCUAUUUUACAGAAAAGAAAAUAAAGAUACUUUAAAAAAACUAGAUCUCAGUUCCUUGUUGAGUACCUAUCGCUAGCUCUGGCUGCUUUAGAAUCUGCGGUGUCAGAGGCCUGGACCUUUGCUUGCUCCCAUGAGCCUGGUGCCUGGCUGCACCUUGAUGAAGGUAAUAAUAGGUAUUAUCGGCCUCUCAUAUUCUGCCCUCACUAGGGUAUUUUGGCUGUGGUUACUUCCUGAGCCCAUGGAGACAACCUUGGCUGAAUCACUUAAAACACUUUUUAAUCAGAACCAAGCACCUUAUUUUACCAAAAUAACCCCUUUUAAAGGUGUCACAAUUUGUUCAACAGAUAAGCAUCAAAGGGCAAUAGAAAAACUGGAAGCAGACAUCAUAAUUAGAUGACUAAAAUGAAAGAGCAGAGUGAUUUAGCAAUGGUUGAACAUUUGGCAAAGAAUUUUCAUCAGGCUUCAUCCCAAUUCUUUCAACAGAGGAGGGAAGAAGCUUCUGAGAACUGUUUGAAAUGGUGGAAUAGCAAUUAAAGGCCUUCGUCAUUAACAGAGAGGAAGCAGAAAUGAAUGUAUUUGCCUAAUAUGGCAUUAUGGGCAUUGGAAGCCAGAGGGUUGCAAUGGAAAUAAACCUGUUGAAAACCAAAUAAGAUGAACACAGGGGAGUACAAAAGAAGGAAGGAAGAUGACCAUCACUCUGGCCCUCUGAGCCUUGUGUUAAAAUGAGAAUUCUGUCCCCUUCUAAGAAUAAGCCUUCCAGUAUGCACUUCAGGAAGUCCCAUUGCUUCGGCUCAGAUGGCUAAUAUGAAAAACAAAGCAAUUGUUUGUUGACACGAUAUUCUAGCAGGUGCAGUUCCAUUUUAAACAAGAAGCCGCUAUUGUUUUCAGGAAUCAUGUUGAUGACUGUCUUAGAACAUGAAGGGCUGGUUCCGCAGGGGGACACCAGGGUGCUGUUUUUCAUUUUGGCCCUUGGGGCCAACAGUUCUCAGCCUCUGCACGUUUAUGACUAGCACCUCCUACAGGGUGGUGUGAGUUUUAAAAAGGAAGGCAAGUUUGUUUUUAUAAAUAAUAUUUUAAAAACCCUGAUUUUCAUAUUCUGAGGAAAAUUCUUGGGCAGAAGGGGAGAGUAGGGCUGUUCAGAUAUUUCUUUGGUAGUCACUGAACCCUGGGGGUGGAGGAGACACUUGAUUUACCGUCUUCAGUUCAGGAGGAAGCCCAGUCAACAAGGUAAGGGCUGUGUGGUUAACUAGCAAGUGAGAAGGGACUUUGGAAUUAAGGCUCGGUGGUGGCCUGCCUUUGUUAAAAUCACUGGAUACCUGGGGCCCAAUCUUCUCCCCAGGUGAAGGGAGGAAAGAGACAGUGAGGGGAGAAAAGUGACAGCAAAAUCUUGAGGUGCUUCCCUGCUUCAUGAGCACCCAGGAGGGGAAGGGCCAGGUGGGCAAAGGCAUCCAGGGCUCUCCUUCCUUUUGUGUAGUGGUGACACCUCUCCAGCCCAGCCUUAUUUGUGGGAUGUGGAGCUGUGUGACGUGUUGCGGUUGAUUUAUGGGCAGCACCGAGCAGUAAUCCCUCCCCUGGCUCUCUCCUCGGCCUUCUCAGCACAGCGGCACUAAAUAUCCAGCCCGACUGGGGAUGCGCUGCGGCCAGUGCACCCGGAGUGAGGGCUGUGUUAGCCUCUCAAUUUACUUUUUCAAAACCACGAUAAAUUCAGGUACAAAUGGCAGGAAAAUUAACUGUGAAAAUGCCACCAUAUUUUGCAGGCCAGUUGCUGUUAGCUUCAAUCUGGUUUGGUUUUUAUAGCUGUUUCUCUUUAGUAGAAAAGAGUGGACUUUUUUUUUUUUUUAAUGUUUAGAUGAGAGAUUACCAGCUUCAACAAAAUGCUGCUACUAAGCAGAAGAAACAACUGUCUUUUUUCUUAGAGGACGGUGGCUUUUAGGUAUAAUGCCUACUUUAUAGUUUGUGUUAGAUUUUACUAUCUUCUUUGAGAAAUGCUCACGUAUUUUUUAUUACUAAUACUGAGCAAAUAUUUAAUUGAUUUAUGCUCUAUAUCUCACAUACAGUGGGGAAGCAAAAGGCAAAUUAAUAUUACUAAACCAGAAUUAUUCUGAUUUUUUUAGGUGGGUGUAAGCCAUGGUGAAAUUUAUCGGUUGUUGUUUAAUGACCCAGUGUUAUCAGCUGUAUUUUAUUUUUUCUAUUUAUUUUUGAGAUGGAGUCUCACUCCGUCACCAGGCUGGAGUGCAGUGGUGUGAUCUCGGCUCACUGCAACCUCCGUCUCCUGGGUUCAAGCAAUUCUUCUGCCUCAGGCUCCUGAGUAGCUGGGACUACAGGCGCGCGCCACCAUGACCAGCUAAUUUUUUGUGUUUUUAGUAGAGACGGGGUUUCACCGUGUUGGCCAGGAUGGUCUUGAUCUCUUGACCUCGUGAUCCACCCCCCCAUAGCCUCCCAAAGUGCUGGGAUUACAGGUGUGAGCCACUGCCCGGCCUAUUUUUUCUAUUUUUGAUAAAGUGAACUGAAGUGACAAAUUAUGUAAAAAGCUACUGGGCCGUUAUGAAAUAUAAUCUGAUUGAGAUAUGAAGGGCUAGUGGGAGUAAACGAAAGGAAGUGUGUGUAUGGUUCAAACUCACCUUGACACCUAUUUGUUGGGCCUUCUUAGACAAGUCACUUAUUAUUUCUAUGUGGAAAUGUCUUUGUUUCUAAAAUGGGAUUAACUAUAUGCCAUGGCCCCAUAUUGGGACUAGAUGCAAUGAUAGAUCUGAAGUUGUGAUCUCAUUUUGAUGGCACUGAAAGAGAAGACAAAGAAGCUUAAGGAGGAGAGGAAGAAAAGUCUAGGGUCUGCCUGGGAGCUAUGAAGGAGGAGAAAGCUUGGAAAGAGCUCAGUGCAAAGGAGCUGAGGGUUGAGGAGCCAAGGUUAUGAAGAAUAAAAAUCCACUCACCUGAGACAGGAGAGGGGAGACAGUUGUUCUAAGAAGUGUCCCAGGGCUGGUCAAGGCUCAGGAGUUCAGGGCCUGGAACUCUCUUCAUGGUUCUAAAUGGUUGGUAUAGACUCUGAUGGCAGGUGGGCUACCCAUUCUUUGGCUAAAACAAUUAUCAGUAUGAAAUUUUCUCCCUUUAUAAUCCCGCCCCUCCCAUUAGCUGCUAGAUUCUGGCCAAUAUGAGGUAGGGGACAAGUCUUUAUAGACCAAAGUUGCUCAAAGAAGAGAAAAACCAAAGGCACCGCAGACCAAGUUUUAUAAGUGAUGUCAGCUUUUCUCUAACUCUGCUUUGGUUGUUGCUCUAAAGUGUUGGGGUCAAGUUUCUUAACUUCCUUUGGACUGGCAGGAAAGAAGACACCUAGUGGAACUUUUAAUCAGACAAGCACUAUACAGUAUACUUUGCCACUCAAAGUAUAGUCUAUGGACCAGUAACCUGGGAGCCUGUUAAAAAUGCAGACUCUCAGGCCCAUCUCAGAUCUACUGAACCAGAAUCUGAGUUUUAACAACAUUCGCAGGUGAUUUAUGUAAACAUUGAAGUCAGGUCAAGACUCCUUCUGGGUGCACAUGAACAUUCACAAACACACAAAUAUUCAUUAUGCAAAUGAUUUACUUUUAUUGUAAGGUUAUAAAAAUAUAGAAAUACAUAAAAAAUAAUAAUUACCUAUGGUCCUACCUCUGUUAGGGGUCUUUUAAUUUUCUUUAUCUUUUAAUUGAAGAAGUCUAGACUUUUUUGUGAGGGGGAAAGCCAUUCUUCUACAAAGCCACUCCCAUAUCUUAAAAAAAUAUACUGGGUUUGACUAAUUGCUCCUAGUUUUGUGGGAGGGCGAAGAAAAUACAAUGAAAAUAGAGAUAUAACCCUAGUUUCUGUUGUGUCACAAACUUUCAAGACUUACAAGGAAUUGGAGAAUAGAAUUGAUUAUUAACUUUAAGCUAUUCUAUACUCAUUUUAAUUCCAACAUUUGGUUGAUUUAUGUUACAAACAGAUUUGGUAUCAUAAAUGGGCUCAGAGCUCUAUGCAUCUAAGGUUCAACAAACCUACUUCAUCUGUAUGUGGAAGUUGGUAGGAAAACAUGUAUCAGAAUUUCCCUUCCUCUUUGAGCAGUCUAUCUAGAAAGAUUAAUUGACCCAACUCUAAAGGGUGGCUUUGUAGAUGAUUUUUAGCAGGAGGUAGGUAAUGUAGUUUGAACAAUGUUUUCUUUCAGUGAAGCCGAAAUCUUAGUUACUGCUUUUCAACUAUAAGGAAUAAAUUGGCCGUGUGCAGUGACUCGUGCCUAUAAUCACAGCACUUUGAGAGGCUGAGGCUGGUGCAUCACCUGAGGUCAGGAGUUUGAAACUAGCCUCGCCAACAUGGCAUCUCUACUAAAAAAAUACAAAAAUUAGCCAGGUGUGGUGGCAGGUGCCAGUAAUCCCAGCUACUUGGGAGGCUGAGGCAGGAGAGUCGCUUGAACCCAGGAGGCGGAGGUUGCAGUGAACCAAGAUCGUGCCACUGUACUCCAGCCUGGGCAACAGAGCAAGACUCUAUCUCCAACCAAAAAAACAAAAAAACCAAAACCAAAACAAAAAAAACUCUAAGGAAUACAUUUCUUUUUCUGAGCCCCCUCUUUUCUUCCCCAAACUUCGUGAGAAUUUAAUUCACCAAAAUAGGGUGAGAUGAAGCUUUCCUUGAUGCCUCCAUGCCCCCUUUGCACAAGUUCAAUGUUUAGAGGUUUCCCAGCAAUUGUCCCCAAGCAGGCAGCAUGCUUUGGGCGUUGUCCUCAUGGGUAGGAGAUGCUCCUGGGGGAGAACCAGCCAGUAUGCCACAGAGCUGAGCUCUUACUGACAGCGACUCCCCCUCUGCCUCCCACUCCCAGUUUCAAGGGCUGGCUGGCUGGGCCAUUCUCGAAGAUUUGGAAAGGAGCCACCAACAGGAAUGAUUGAACAAUUGCUCUGUGAAACUUGAGAUAACACUUUGUUCCACCACAGUGGAAUUCCUGUGUGACAGAAGGAAAUUAUCAUUUAGUUUUUGGUUAACAUUUAUGUGAGAAAAAUAAAAUUAAAGUUGAUGGUAUCUAGUCCAAGAAAUGCUUGUAUUUAUUUUAAAGAAUAUUAACUUAGCACUUUUGUAGAGUGAGGGUAACCAUCUUUGGAGGAUUCAUUGUUUGAGUUGCAAUUGAAAACAAAACAAAACAAAAUGAAAACCAACAAUGUCCUUUAAGAAGCCAGUGGAAUGCCUCCUGGCUAUCAAAUUCAGUUCCCUGAAAUCAAUGGGAUUUCUAGAAAUAAUUGGAUUAUGAAUACAAUGGUAUGAAGUAGGUCCAUCUCUAUGGAUACUUGGAGGUGUGUGUGAGGAGUAAUCUUAUGGAUUUUUGAAAAUUUCAACAUGUAGAAAAAGGUGGACAAGUUUCACUGAGUUCAUUAUAAAUUUUGCAAUCAAAUGAAUAAAGCAAACAUUUUACUACUAAUAUAUAAGUAAUCUCAAUAGUUCUUGUGUUAAAAAUGCUAGUAGGAAUAACUUUUAAUUUAGUUCUCAAAGUAUCAAAUCCAUGUGUUCAUUCAUUCAGCCCACAUUUAUCAAGGGCCAUUUCUGUGUAAGCACUGUCACAGACUGGGUGAUACUGUGAUGAAUAAGACAGGAUUCUUGUGUUAAUAACUUUAUAGUUGGCUAGAGGAGACAUGAACGUGGUGGGUACAAGGUGUCCUGAGAAAGUUAAGCCAAUUUAACAACUAUUUCUAACAUCUCUCUAGCCUGCUUUUCCUUUAAGUAUAGGGUCAUGUAUUUGUGAGCCUAUGUGUUUUAUAAACAUGUAUUAGUAUUUGCACUUGUAUAGUGCUUACUAUGGGCUAGAAACUUUCUAGAAGCUUUAGAGAUGUGAACUCAUCUAAUAUAUGAUUAUUAACCCCCCAUUUUACAGAUAAGAAAAUGGAGGCAAAGACAGAUUGGAUAACUUGCUGAACUUGGUGGAGGAGAAGGAUUUGAACUUAGCAGCCCAGCUUGAGUCUUUCUAUGUGCUGUGCUGUGCUGUCUUCCCGAAGUGGGUGCACUAGCAGCAUAACCCAAAAAGAGGUGUGCAGAGCUUAACUGGGUGUGUGGGCUCAUGCCUUUUAUCCCAGCUGCCCAGGAAGCUGAGGCAGGAGGAGGCCAGGAGUUUGAGACCAGCCUGGGCGACAUAGUGAGAGACCGUCUUUUUUUUUUUUUUUUUUUUUUUAAAGUAUUGUGCAGAGCUCACUGCUUAUUACCUGGUAGAUUUGUUUCUAUCACUUAGGCCUGUUUAAUUACAUAAUACAUGGUUGUAGCUUAUUUCUUUAGUAGUGAUAGGUUCUUGAACCAUGGAAAUCAAGCAGCCAUAAAUGUUUAAAAAGGAAUCCAGGCCAGAUUUAUUCAAAGGAAUCCGACAUUUGUAAUAUGAAGACUAUUUUACAAAUGACCAGCCUUUUGUUUAACUAUUUUGAAGUUCAGAGUUUCCUUAUUGUUUUUUAAUGUUGGGCAUUUGUUUAUAUCAUUUUUAUUGAUUUGAAAUUAAUCCAGUGGUGUAUAUGCAUGAGGGUAGUUGCUAGCCUCGGUUUUGGAGAAAGAUCUUCACUAGAGGAAAAGGAAAACCUAAAGCUCUGUUUAAGUGAGGGAGGAAUUUUGGACAGGCAUCCUCAGUAAUCUAGUAUUUUGUUAAGAGUAUGGGAAAGAGUUAUAUUUUUAUCCUGGAGUCAUUCUGAGUCUUAUGCUCAUCAGAAAUUCCCAUGCUUUAGUUUGUGUGUGUGGGAAAGAGAUGAGAGAGAGAAAGAGAGAGAGAGAGAAAAAAAAAAAAAAGAAAAAAGAAAAGAAAAGAGGAGAGGAGAGGAGAAGGGAGGGAAAGUGAAUGAAGAAUCUUAUGGUGAAAUGAGAUGAAUUAAUGCAUAUGUGAGCUCAUCAGUUUUUAUUAAUGAGAAAAUAACAAGCACCAUUAAACAAAAACAUUAGAUCUAAAAGAUGGAACAUAAGACCACCUUAUCUAGUUACACUUUAAAGGGUAUUUUAACAAGGGGCUAAGACUGAGCCUAGUUCUAGUUCCUUGUCAGCAGAAGGGACUCUGUUUUACUCAUUUUAUCCUCCGUGCCUAGGUGAGAGACUGGCACAGAACAGGUACCCAGUAAAUGAAUGUGGAAUGAAUAGAGCUAGAGACCUUGGUUUCUGCAGAAAGAUCUCCAGACCUUCAGAGAAAACAUCUCACCUCAGAAGGUAUUCACUGGCCAGAUGCCACAUUCUCCUUGAAGUCAGGCUGCCCCACUGAACUCACUGGCUUUGAAGCAGAGUAAGGCCUGCUCAGGAACCCAGCGGGAAGUCUUGUGUCUGUGACCUGGGCCCCCAUGGUUAGAGUCAGGAGAUUAGAGUGUCCUUGCUCCAAAGCCAGAGAUACAGACCCAGAUUACUCAGGGUCACAGGUCCACAUUCUUGUAUGCAGCAGGAGCAUUAAUUAGUGACAAUUACCUAUUGGAAAAAAGAAGUCGAGUCCUGAGUGUCCCUUCCAAAAAACUUAAAGACAGAAGGAAGCUUCUAACAAUGGGUCAGGGGAGAUGCAUUUCCGCCCCGAUGUUAAAAACAAGGUGCUGUCUAAUUGAUGAGUAGUAGGGGCUUGCAGAGACGCUUUGAUGAGCCAUCUCCUGCUUCCUGAUAUUGUGACCUCUCAACAAACACUGACAAAUAAAACCAGCAUGUCUUCGAUAUAAAUGAGAGCACACUAUCUAAGGAGAUGCUUCGUUCUCAGGAUGUGGUUGAAAUCCUGUUAUGAAUAAGGUUUACAUCCUUGCCACUGAAAUAAUAUUUUUGUACUGUGGAAAUCAAUGGUAAGGAAAAAAAUGGACAGGUCAUCUAAUAUGUAAACAAUUUAACUUUGAUGUAAUCUCUUGUUUGCUGGAUUUGGUCCUGGGGAAACUCAAAGGACUUUCUUAGUUACUUAGUUGAAUCUCUCACCUUUUCUCUGUCUUCUCGUUUAACUUCUCUUCUCUUACCUUGCAGAGCAUUUUGAUGAUGAGUCCAGCUGAAAAUAGUGCUGUGUCAGGAAUUUAGACUUACGGCCUAACCCUUUUUCUUGUGGGGAAAUCUUUAGGUGUAUAGGACUGUGCUAAUGGUGAUUUAAAGUAGAACCAGCAGAGGUUUGGUCUGAGGGAAGGUGAAAGCAUGUAUUUUAUCAAGUUGAGAACCUGUAGAGAAUUUGUGGGUUCUGUGUUUCAAACGGAGCUCAAAUCUUUUGAGGCUCAAGUUCCAUUUGCUCUUGGCAAAACACAAUUUCCUGGUUCAAAAGAAAAUAAGCACAUAAAAAAAGGGCCCCCAGGCUUCUUGGACAUCAAAGCUUAUGAGAUACUCUUAUAAAACAGCAUUUGGAUGAUUUUUAGAUUAUAGGAACCAGGAACAUACAGAUUAAAACUACCCUUGAACUACCCUUAAGUUAAAAAGAAAAAACAAGACAAAAAGCCAAGGGCAAAGCUGUUGGCAAAGUGCAUUACACUUUGGAUGUUUUUGCCAAAAGUGAGACAUUUUAGUUAGUCUUCAAGCUCACCCUCCUUUCAAAUUUUUUUGUAAAAUCUCAGCAAUGUCAAAAUUCCAUUUCAGCUUCUGCCUGAUAUCUCUUGAACUUCACAUCUAAGGGGGUAGUCAUGAUUCUUUUGAACCAACAAUUUCUUUAAGAAAUUAUGUCCAUAUUUUCGUUUGAUGUUCAAGCAACUUUGAUUAAUAUAUCCUUUAACAUAAAUACCAAAUAUCGACUAAUCUGUUAAAAAGCACAUUGUUUUAAAAAAUCAUUCUAGAUUAGUGAUUCUCAACUGGGAGUUAUUUUGAUUCCCAGGGGACAUUUAGUAAUAUCUGGAGAAAUUUUUGGUUGUCAUAACUCAUAACUAGAGAUUCGGGAGGUUGGCUACUAGCACCUACUGGGUAGAGGCCAGGGACACACUGCUCAAUAUUUUAUAAUGCACGGGACAGCUCCCCAUCACAAAGAAUUAUCUGGCUCAAAAUGUCAAUAGCGUUGAGAUUUAGAAACCGUGUUCUAGACUCUGGAGGAUCAUAGAUAUUAUGAUUUCCAGCUACUUAAAUUUAUCCCAACCAAGAUUGAUGUUCUUUACUGAUUUCUGGACAUAAUUAUCAGACUGGGGGAAGAAAGAAGAAUAAAAAUGAGAAUAAGGAAGAGAGAGAUAUCUGUAAGACUAAAAUAAUCCUUUGGGUACCAAGGUCACCAUAUCUGUUCCAUUAUAACUAAGGAAAAUAAAAUAUUUUAAAAAAGAUAUAUAGUGAUUUUGAGGUCCACAGAUUAUUAGCUGUUAUAGGAACGCUCUUUAAGUCAGAAGGAAAGCAAUGGAAACAGGACAUGUUAAUAUUCUUUUUGCCAUUGUUUGUAUGCUACUACGUGCAACUAAAAACUGAAGCUUAUGAAACACUUCCACUCCUCACAACUGCCUGACUUGCUUGUUUGCCCAUGUUGGUGUUUAUUCCAUCAUUAAUUCAUUCAUCAGACAUUGAUGCACCCUCAGAAAAGACAGGGUUAAGGGGACAAAAUGUGUGAAUGGAAGCGUUCCUCCGCAUGGUUGAGAGCUGCAGGAUCCCACAGACAAGUUAGCUGAGGCAGAAGUACAAGGCCUGUAUUAUGAUUCGGCAUAAUGUACAAAUUGCAUUGGAAGAGACAGUGGCAGUGCCCGAGGCACUAUCUGUCACUCUUGGUGAAUUUGCAAAUGCCUAUCAUAGAGGCAGUGUCCCAAGAGACAGAAUGGUAUCCUUUGGGCAAGGUUUCCUAAGCUUAGAACCACCUGAAGCAUGUGUUAAAAACCGCAGCAGCAGCAGUAUCAACAAAAACAGAUUUAUCAGCUCCACUUCAGCUCACUGACUCAGAAUCUACAGGAAUGGGUAAUUUUUAACAAAUGCUGAAGGUGGUUUUUAUCAUAAGGCAAGUUUAGGAAACUCUCCUCUUAAGACCAGUAAACUGUGAAACCCACAGAGGAAACCUGAGUUUAGAGUCCCAUCCUUAGCCCUAUCAUUACCCCACACAGACUCAGUCAUCCAUUCAUUCAGCAAACACCUUUUGUGCAUCUACUAUGUGCCAGCCUUGUUCUAGAGGCUGGGGAUAUUGUGAAUAAGACUGACAAGGUCCCUGCUCUCAUAGAGCUUAUAUUCAGACUCACCAGUGAGAACUGAAAUAACUGUGGAGUAUUUCACCCAAGAAGUGUCUUCCAUUAUGUGGAUGAGAAAGGCAGAAAGAAGCUUUGUAUUCUGGAGUAAUGUAGGGAAGCAUUCCCUCUUAUGCACAUGUACAUAGCAAAUAUGUUUCUGGUGUCCAGAAAUAUCUAUUAUACUUACUAUUUGUAUGAGUUUAGGAAAAUUGUUUGAUGCCUCUGUGCUCAGUAUCCCAUCUGUAAAAUAGGGAUAUUAUAUAUAUACACACACACACACACACACACAUACACGUAACAUUACAUAUAUAUAAUUUACCAUACAGAGUUGUUUCAAGGAUUAAAUUGGUCAACACUUUCAAAGUGCUUAGACAAGAGCAUGUCACAUGGUAAACACACAAUAUUAUUUGCUAUUAUCAUCCUCAUUCUCAUCAUUGUCAUUAUCAUUAUCAUAUUCUUCCCUUUCCCCCAUUACAUCCCAUGAUUCCAGUGCCACUGAGGGGAAAAUAUGUUUGGCAACCCUAGUAGAUCGUAUUCCUUUAUUUACAUAGGCAUCCACUUUUAUACAUAUAUAUGUACUGAGAACUUGCCAAAUUCAGGGCUUGGAACUAGGGUGUGAGAAAUGUAAAAAUAAGCUAGUAAUAUAAAAAUAUAAAAAUAAGUGGAGUAGUUAAGCUCAAUUGACAAAAACCUGUAGUUUAGGUAGAAAGUGAUUAUAAGAGUACGAAUAAAGUAUUCCAAGGGUUCAGAAUAGAAAAUGAUUUCUUCCAGCUUGGGGACAUUUGGGAAAUUGGGAUAUCCUUUGGGGAAAUGUAGUAAUCAGUAUAUUCUGGGAAAACAUAGUAGAGAAUGAAUAAAUAAAUUCCAUUGAAUUUGGAAUAUGUUGUCCAUUCUCCCUGUAACUAAUGCUAUCAAGAUAAAGUAGAAAUACCACAUUUCAGAAACAGCUGGAGUAGACAGGUCUUCAUAGGCUAGCUUGGAAACCUAAUAGCUAUUAAUAAUGAAAUUUUAAUUAUACUCUGGGUUCUAAACAAUGAACACACAGUGAUCUUUUUGACUUGCUGCUUGUUUAUAAGUUGGGGAUGGUCUGAAUUCAUUGUUGAUUCAAAAGAAAACGAAUAGUGUUUUAAACCUUUUAUUUACAAAGACUAUAAUUUGUCACCUUCCUACCAACAUAUCUUAAAUACACCAAGACCUUUUACAGAAGCUUAAACAAGGGUGUACAGCUCUUGUUUUACUCCUCUCCCACCAAUCUGCUUUAGCUUAUCUGGACUUUGGUAUGUAAUUUGGAAAUUGGGCUAUGUUUUCCUUACUUAAAUUGCAAAAAAAAAAAAAAAAUGAUUAACUGAAAUAACACUGCACAUUUUUCAGAUUUAAUUAUGUUUGUAAUACAUCACCCAGUGAUAUGGGGCAACUUUUUGCUGUUCACUUUCCAUCAUGUGUUUCUCAUAACAUAUGGUCCUCAUGAAAUAGUUUUGAUUCAGAGUCCCCAGUAGCAUAUGGCAAAAAAAAGGCCCC